rnacentral:lncRNA from 1 species
UCCAUAGCAUAAGAAAUUAUUUGAAAUUUGUGUAAGCGCGAUGCUAAGUGAUUCCUCAACCAGUAAUUCUUUGAUUAUAUUAUCAAUAAUCAUCAAACAAUGCGAGAAUAGACAUCAUAAGCUAAUUUUCCAUUAGCUAAAUUACCACUCAUGCAAUCUUCGACAAGGCCUCCGAUCACACUCUUCUUCCCGAGCGUAAGAAGCGUAUCAGCUCAGACCGUCGCAGCGAAGUCGGCGAACCACACCACGACGGGGGUGCUGCACAAAAGGAGGCCCGCCGGGACCAUCCACAGCUGCUCGUUGUUGGGGUGAUACACGAGAGCCCACCGCGCCAGCAGCGCGCCUCCGAGGGUGCUGAUGACGAGGAGACACGUACGAGACAACGCCGACAUCUUCCCCCCCGGGGGUGGGGGUUUUCUCCUGCUCCAUCUCCUUUCCUCCAUGGAGAUGGAGGAGAUUCUUAUAAUUUUUUUAUCUAAUGUGAGGUUCCCUAGUUUCUCAUCUAUGCAUGGUCUAUGAAGGCGGCAGAGGUGAGGUUGAGCAGGAGCCUGCACCCGAAGGUUCACUUGAUUACCUAAUGACCGAAGACUAAAUCUAUUAUCGUAGCUAGAAUGGCGUACGUAGUAUACAGAAUGACAUGCUAACGCAGGAGAUCACGUUAGCUG